rnacentral:rRNA from 1 species
GACGAACGCUGGCGGCGUGCCUAAUACAUGCAAGUAGAACGCUGAAGGAGGAGCUUGCUCUUCUGGAUGAGUUGCGAACGGGUGAGUAACGCGUAGGUAACCUGCCUGGUAGCGGGGGAUAACUAUUGGAAACGAUAGCUAAUACCGCAUAACAGUAGAUGUUGCAUGACAUUUACUUAAAAGGUGCAAUUGCAUCACUACCAGAUGGACCUGCGUUGUAUUAGCUAGUUGGUGGGGUAACGGCUCACCAAGGCGACGAUACAUAGCCGACCUGAGAGGGUGAUCGGCCAAACUGGGACUGAGACACGGCCCAGAAUCCUACGGGAGGCAGCAGUAGGGAAUCUUCGGCAAUGGACGGAAGUCUGACCGAGCAACGCCGCGUGAGUGAAGAAGGUUUUCGGAUCGUAAAGCUCUGUUGUAAGAGAAGAACGAGUGUGAGAGUGGAAAGUUCACACUGUGACGGUAGCUUACCAGAAAGGGACGGCUAACUACGUG